AGUACUGAAACUAUUUAGAGUUGCAAAUAAUAUAUAUAAAAUAAAACCGAAACGUGCAUAUAGUGAUAUCUAAACCAUUAAAAAAAAAAUAUGAAGAUAAUAUUGUUAAUGCAAUGGAGGUGGUGUGGGUAGAACUAAUAAUGAUAAUUAUGCGUAUAUAUACCCGUAUCCAUAUUUUGCGUAGUAGGGAAUACUAGAGAGGAGGGUAUCAUCUAGGUCAAAGAUCCAAACAUUGACGGUGUCGUUCUUUAGGGCAAGUCCUUUGGCAUAGAAAUAAGCCUCUUUGCACACGGUUUUGGAGUCGUAUUGGUACUGUUUGGAAGUGAUCAAGUAGUCUUCAACAUAGUCUUUGCAAUUUGCGGGCACCGUGUCGAAGUCUAUGAUGUUAGAGGUCUCAACACCAAGGUGCCAGCUUCUGCAGUUGGCGUAGUUGAUGGAAAGUUUCUCUUUCUCUAAGAGUUCGGCUACGUUCCCAAAGAUGGUUUUCGAAUCGACGAGUUCGAUGAGCCCUGGAACGGAUGCCGAGACCGUAGCGGCCAAGAGCAAGAGAAGUGAAAGUGAGAGGAUUUUCAUGUUUUUUAUGGUAUGGUUUAUUGUUUAGUUUGUGAUGUUUAUAUGUGUGACGCAAAGGGUGGUAUUUAUAAUGAGGUGGGGUUAUGAGAAAUGAUUAAGAAGCCAGAUGAGAAAUGAGGAGAUAUGUGUGCUUGUCUGUUUUCGAUUGGUGCAACAAAUGCUACUGGUCCCAUAAUGUUUAUAAUCGACGAUAUUUUUCACUUACACCACUCGUUUUUAGUGCACGUUGAGAUUGUGUGCUUAACUAGAAUUUGGCGUUUUGUUGUUCUAUUAUCUUUGGCUUAUCUGCUUGUAAAUUUUGAAUUAGAGUUUCGUUUUGGAGAAUACUGUAAAGUUGUUCUACAUUACUAGAAAAAUGUAUUGAAUAUGUUGAUGUGAGUAUAAUUUGUGUUUGCGGAAAUAAUAUAUAGAGUAAAUGUUUCAUUUUUUUUUUUUUGAUAAAUAAUUGAUAGAGUAAUUGGGAAAACCAAUAAAAUGCAAAACGAGUAAUUGACAACAGGUUCCACAGUGAGCGAGAAGAGAUGGGUGUACUGUGAAUAAUAUAAGAGAUGAGACAUGACGAUAAGAAAUGUGAGGUACACAAGAAUAGACGUUAAAUAAUUGUUACGUAAAGUCGUAACAUUAAAUAAUUCAAUAAAUUAGCAAACAUAUAUAGCUGUAUCACUAUUCACUAGUUGUUGACAAAUAUUUGAAUAACGAUUUUCAUGCCCGAGAUUGGGAACAGUUUCUAAUUGCCACCAAGAUUUUCCACAAAAAGUUGUAUCUUGGUGAUAGCUAUAGUUUCAACGAUAAUUGUCCAGUCUUCCAACAAUAUUGUUAUAUAUUUUUUUCUAAUGCAUAUAACCUCAUGACGAAAUAUUUAAGUAGUUUAAUAGAAUUUUUAUAUAUCAAAAAGUAUAUAUAGUGUUGCAAACCAAGUUGUGGUACACUACAAGAGAACAAAACCCUUUUCGACAGACUUUUCGACGAUAAAUAAACGGUCGAAAAUUUUCGACGGUUUCGUAAUGGUAUUCCGACGGUUUUCUGACGACAUGUUUUCCGUCAAAAUGUCGUCGAACUUUUCUGACGAAUUCUAAAUGAUCGACAAUUCAUCAGUCAUUUCCAACGAAACUCCGACCAAAUUAAAUCCGACCAAAUUAAAUCCGACCAAAUGUUUCGACGGAUUUCCGACCAAAAUAUAUCCGUUUUGAUCCCUAGAAUAUUCAUCAGAAUAUUCUGCACUUUUCCGACGGAAUUCCAACGAAAUACACUCGGUCAAGUAGCUACUCGGUCAAUUCGCCGCACGGUCACAUAGCCGUGCAUUUUUUUAUUUUAAAAAAUAAAUAUUCAAAAUUUCCGUCGGAAAUUCGUCGCCAAAACCCGUCGGACGUCCGUCGAAAACCCGUCGAAAACAUUGAUAAUUCUCAUCUUUAUAUUUUUCUACCAUCAUUCACAAAAUCGUCCAAGCAGCAACAAAAUAUAACCAGAGAGAAAUGGCUUCUUCAAAUCCGUUUAAUUAUUUUCGAUCAUGGAUGGACCAGCCCAUGCGUGAUCCGCUAACGGAGUUACUAAUGCCGGAAUAUGCAGAAGGUCUUAAACAAUUCAUGGCAUUCGCGACAAAUCAACCGGUAACCAUCGAAUCAAAAAAAAUGUGUUGUACAUGUCGGAAUUUUGGAGUUCUUCAUGUAUCUCAAGUUUGGAUGCACUUAUAUGGGGAAGGGUUUAUGUCGGGGUACAAAGUUUGGUUCAUGCAUGGAGAGAAUGAGUCAAUGGUGAAUUAUGGUAGUUGUAGCGAAUAUUAUCCUGUUGAUAGGUUAGUGGAACCAAAUCCGGAAGUAGAUGCAAAUGUAGGUACCGUUCAGAUGGUAAAUGAUGCUUUUCGUGAAAAUGUACACUCGUUUGAUGGGGAUAGUGAUAGAGUAGAGGAACCUAAUUUAGAAGCACGGAAGUUUUUUGAUAUGUUAGAUGCAGCAAAAUAUCCCUUAUAUAAAGGAUGUAAAAAGGGUCAUUCGCCUUUAUCUGCUGCAACUAAGUUGAUGGGUAUCAAAACGGAUUAUAAUUUGUCCGAGGAUUGUGUGGAUGCGAUUACUGAUUUUGUGAAAGAUUUAUCACCCGAAGAUAAUCUUGCACCGGGAACAUACUACGAGGUGCAGAAAUUGGUAGCUGGUCUUGGUUUACCGUAUCAGGUGAUAGAUGUGUGCAUUGACAAUUGUAUGUUGUUCUGGAGAGAAGAUUCAGAUCGUUUGACAUGUAAGUUUUGUCGCAAACCUCGGUAUCGGGAAACAAGUGGACGAGUCCCAAUUCCAUACAAACGGAUGUGGUAUUUACCAUUAUCAGAGAGGUUGAAGAGGUUAUAUCAAUCUAAGCGCACAGCCGGGCCAAUGAGAUGGCAUGCAGAGCACACAACAGAAGGAAAAAUUACGCAUCCUUCUGAUGCAGAAGCCUGGAAACAUUUUCAAACAGUGCAUCCUAGCUUUGCUUCCAAACAAAGGAACGUAUAUCUUGGAUUAUGUACAGAUGGAUUCAAUCCCUUUGGAAAGCAUGAGAGGCAGUACUCAUUGUGGCCUGUUAUCGUGACACCUUGCAACUUGUCGCCAUCAUUAUGCAUGAAACGAGAGUUUCUAUUUUUGACCAUCCUCGUUCCUGGCCCACAUCAUCCAAGAAGAUCACUCGACGUGUUUCUACAACCACUUAUAUACGAGUUACAAAUGUUAUGGGAGCAUGGUGUUGAAGCGUUUGAUGUUUCAUCCCAACAGAAUUUUGUCAUGCGUGCGGCACUUAUGUGGACCAUCAGCGGCUUUCCUGCAUAUGGUAUGUUAUCUGGAUGGACAACGCAUGGAAGGUUAUCGUGUCCGUAUUGUCAAAAAUAUGAAUAUAAUCAGCUAGUAAUAUACUUUGUAAUUUUAUUUUAGAUUUAGAUUGUUAGAUUUAGGUUCAUAGAUAUUAUAGAUCACUUACGUGACAAACCGUGGUUAUAGAUCACUUGCAUGAACCACGAUUUGUAUUUUUCGUUUUUUAAUUUAUUAAUCAUAUGUUCCUCUUCGUCUUUGCUGGUGACUUGUGAUGGAGUAUGUUUUAGAAACCUCAACGAAUUUAAUCUCAUAUUUUAGUUUAAUAAAUUGUUAUUUACGUGUCUUCUGAAUUUUCCAUUUAAAAAUAAAUUAUACUUAGAUAUUUAUUUUGCUAUGGUAUCUAUUGGUUUUUUGACAUUACAAAUUUUGAUUAUAUUAAACUGUGUAUUAUUAAUAUUAUUUUAUUUUUUAGGACUUCUUACCAAGAUUUUCGUAGGUCUGAGACUCGAUCCAAUAAUCAGGCGCACUCGACAACACCAUCACCAUCGUCCGUUCCCGAGUCGCAGCAGUCUGCGGCUCGUCCACCAAUGACAGUUGAGGAGCUAGUACAACAACCGGGGCGAACACUUCUCCGACGACUCCAUCCAAAAAGGCGUGAAAAAGGGAGCACAUGGUAAGUAAAUUUUGUUCUCUGUUUUUAAUAUAUAAAGAUUUUAUAGUAUAAAUUAUAUUAUUUAUCUCUAUAUGUAGGUUUGGUUAUUCUAAAAAUGGCAUAUCCAAAUCGAUUUUACGGAUGUUGCAUGGAAUGCUCAAACAUCUGUAUCCGAAGUACAAUGAUAUGCUUCGCGAUGAUCAAGAGCUUUGGUUUAGAACUUUUGCGGUAAUGAAUUUAUUAUUACGUACCAUUAUUUUGUUUGUUUUUUCUAACAUAAUUCUUUUUGUUUGUAGCAUGAAUUCAAUAGGGAUCAUGUCCUCACACCCACUGUCCGUAUCGCGUUUAACAAGUAUGCUGCAUCAAAAUUUGCAGACCACAUGAACAUUUGGAAGGGAAAGUGGGCAGCAGGCAAGGAGUGUCCAAGAGGCUUGAACCCAGACAUAUGGCCUCGCUAUAAAGAGUAUUGGGCGUUGCCGGAGACUGCUCGUACCGCGGAAACCAACUCAUAAAACCAGAAAAGAGAGCGUGGUGGCAAAGGUGUGGCGGUGCACAAUGCGGGUUCGACGAGCUUCUUAAGUCGUACAGACGAAUUGGUAAGUCUUUUACUCUUAUUUAAUUUCAUGUUUUCUUUUAAUUUAACUAUAUUUUUUUAUUUGAUUUAUAGACGGAGAAGAACGGAGGUGUGAAACCUGAUUUUGUAGAAAUCAUUGAGGAUACACACACCAACAAGAAAACUGGAUUAAUUCAAGACGGUUACAUCGCGGGUCUUGUUGAGACAUUGAAGAGAAGGAAGACGGAGUGCCUCACACAGCUUCCCCAAAAUGAUGAUGGAUCCUCACCAUCCAACGUCCAGGCCCGAGAAAAAAUUAACCGCAUGGUUCUUGAGGUAAGGUUUGUUUCAUAGCAUACAUUUUUGUAUAAUUUUUAAAAAAUUACUAAUAGUUGUUAUAUACAGGAAGUUCCGUCAAACCGGAGUCGUGUGGUAGGAUUAGGUAGCCUAAACGAAAGCACCAAAGAUUUUUAUGACGGCCCAUCACGGGAUUCUGAGAUCCUUGCAGAGCUUGAGGAGAAAGACAAGGAGAUCUUAGCUUUGAAGGAGCAAAACAUGAAGAUUCUUGACUUCAUGCGUUCCAAAUUUCCUGAUUUUCCUGAUGAUCUAUAAAUGCUUUUAUUUAAAUUUAAUUUUGUUGUUUUGUCAAACAAUUUUAUUUUCUUUCGUAGGAUAAUAUAUGUAUUUUUAAAAUAUUUAUUUUAUAAUAUUUUAAGAAAGAAUUUUCUAUAAAAUUUAAUUUAAAUUAAUAAAAAUAUUGGUAAUUAAAUUAGACCCGUCGGUAAUACAGACAAUGUCAGUAACCCGUCGGAAAAUACAACAACAUCAGUAACCCGUCGGAAAAUAUAACAACGUCAAUAACCCGUCGGAAAAUACAACAGUCAGUAACCCGUCGGAAAUACUUCGUCGGGAAUCCAUCGGGAAUAAUGUUGUCGGGAAAUCGUCGAAGACGAUACCGACCGAUUUUCAACAACGUUCUGAUGCAAUGCCUGACAACAAUAUUCGUUAGAAAAUAGUCGAAAACUAUUUCCGACGAAGAUCCAACGAUCAUUUUCGACGAUGUUCCAACCAGUUUCGCAACCAAUGUUAUCGUCAGAAAAGCGUAGAGAAAUUGUCGGAAAAUACCUCGUCGGAAACCCGUCGGUAAUUUGUAACACGUUUCCAACGACAUUCAGAUUUCCGACAAGAUAGAAUCGACCAAUCUAUGUUGUCGAAAUGUCGUCGAAUACGGCUAUUUUUAACGGUAUUUCGACGAUUUCGUCCGUCGGAAAGAGCCUAUAUUCUUGUAGUGGUAGAAUAGUAGUUUCCAUUUGAAAUAUGAAGUCUUCAUGUGCGUAUAGUUUAGGGAUUAAAAUUCUUCAACUAUUUAAAUUAUUCGGUCUGAAAGUACCCUGGUUAACAACAAAAAAAAAAAGUUGCAACGACAAAAGUUUAUGUUUUUAUUUCAUAAAAACUAUUGACCAAACAUCUGAUGUCAAAGAAAAAAAAAACUAUAUUACCAAACAACAUAUACUUUAAUCACUCUAAAGGGAAUGUAGUUAAAACUCGAAUCAUAUUAAGAUGAUGUGUUCCCAACUAAUAUCAAUCCUAAGGAUUAGUCGGUUUAAACAUUGGUUUCAUCAUAUAACGUAAAGGAAUGAGUGUUAUACCACUACCAGCUUAACGUAAAUGGUGAGAAGAUAUUCAUAGAAAAUGAUAGUCUAUACUCUAUACAUGAUUAAAGAGAUUGGUAUAGUGUUGUGUUAACUGUUAUAUUUACAUGGAGAUAUCAUUUCAUGGAAACUUGAUUAAUGAUCCCUUUAACGAAAAACAAAAUUUAGUACGAAGUCGUUGUACUUAUUGAGUUAUGAUAGGAUUGGCAUUUUAUUUAAGCAGUGGUGCCAAAACGGCUACAAAGAUAAACGAAACGACAUAGAUAUGAAAUGGAUACAAGGGGACAAUGCCAUGAAGAUAGAUGCUUAAUUAAGAAGGUACGUAGUAGAGUGGAUUUGGGAGCUUAAAAACCCUUCCAGGAGUAUCCUCAACCAAAUCAGCCCAUUGGUCUCCAAUAUUCCCAACGAUGUUGUACCCUUUCUUCACAAGGCUAUUCCUAACCUUUGACUUGUACACCACUUGCGUCAACUUCGAUCCGUUUGGCCUGCGUUUCCAUAUAUAGUCCUCGAUAUUCAAUCACAUAUGACAUUAUUUGCUAUAUAUAACUAAGCUACUUGAUUAAUUCUUACUUGAGUAUGAGAUGCUUCCAUUUUGUUACACCAACAGCCUUGAGAUUCUCGACAGUGACUUCUGACAAUUUUUUCCAUCUGUCAGAGAUUAUGAUGGGUUCAAUCCCGAGUUCCAAGAGGUUUUCGUAUAGAUGCAAGGUCUCCGGGAGUCCUGGAGUUGAUUCUCCGGACUCUAACCACGACCAGUACGCCCCCGGGGCUGUGUUCUCGGUCCUAAGAAUCCAACAAAAAAAAAUCUACAUUAGAAUGAAAUCACAAAGUAGAUAUGGACCCAAAAAAACAGUUAGAUGGGUUAGUUAAAAUAUUUAAAGUUGUCAAAUGAAACGUGUCUUUCCAUAUAUGACAGCUAAACAUUUUCAAAAAAACUAUAUGACGAUAAUAUUAUUAAUUCAAUGUAGAUAGGUACAAUAAUAUGUAUAUACCCAUAUCCAUAUUUAGCGUAGUAGGGAAUACUAGAGAGGAGAGUGUCGUCUAGGUCAAAGAUCCAAACAUUGACGGUAUCGUUCUUUAGGGCAAGUCCUUUGGCGUAAAAAUAUGCCUCUUUGUUUACAGUUUUGGAGUCGUAUUGGUACUGUUUGGAAGUGAUCAAGUAGUCUUCAACAUAGGCUUUGCAAUUUGCGGGCACCGUGUCGAAGUUUAUGAUGUUAGAGGUCUCAACACCAAG
rnacentral:lncRNA from 1 species